rnacentral:lncRNA from 1 species
ACAAAAUCUGUGAGUAUGAAAGGACAAACAACCACAUAAUUUACACAUUCCUCAUUAGUCUUCACUUUAUGGUUUAUCUAAAGUAUUUUUCUCUCCUCCAGGCAGAGGAUAAAUUAGAAGUGUUCAGAAAAGGUCAUUCCCUCCUCUCCAAGAAGUACAUUUUCAUAAUUAAAAGAACUAAAGUUCAACCACAUAUGAAGUGAUCUCUACUCAACACAGGAGUUACAUUUGUCUGUUACAGG